rnacentral:rRNA from 1 species
CAGUCGCCGCGGGAAUACAGAGGAUGCAAGCGUUAUCCGGAAUGAUUUGGCGUAAAGCGUCUGUAGGUGGCUUUUCAAGUCCGCCGUCAAAUCCCAGGGCUCAACCCUGGACAGGCGGUGGAAACUACCAAGCUGGAGUACGGUAGGGGCAGAGGGAAUUUCCAGUGGAGCGGUGAAAUGCGUUGAGAUCGAAAAGAACACCAACAGCGAAAGCACUCUGCUGGGACGACACUGACACUAAGAGACGAAAGCUAGGGGAGCAAAUGGGAUUAGAUACCCCAGUAGUCCCUGUCUCUUAUAC